rnacentral:rRNA from 1 species
UACGAAGGGGGCUAGCGUUGUUCGGAAUUACUGGGCGUAAGGCGUGCGCAGGCGGUCUGCUAAGAGAGGUGUGAAAUCCCCGGGCUUAACCUGGGAACUGCGCUUCUAACUGGCAGGCUAGAGUGUGGCAGAGGGGGGUGGAAUUCCACGUGUAGCAGUGAAAUGCGUAGAGAUGUGGAGGAACACCGAUGGCGAAGGCAGCCCCCUGGGCUAACACUGACGCUCAUGCACGAAAGCGUGGGGAGCAAACAGG